UACAGAGGGGGCAAGCGUUAUUCGGAAUUAUUGGGCGUAAAGGGCGCGUAGGCGGCCUGGCAAGUGGAAGGUGAAAUCCCUCGGCUUAACCGAGGAACUGCCCUCCAAACUGCUUGGCUUGAGUCCGGGAGAGGUGAGUGGAAUUCCCAGUGUAGCGGUGAAAUGCGUAGAUAUUGGGAGGAACACCAGUGGCGAAGGCGGCUUCCUGGCCUGUAACUGACGCUGAGACGCGAAAGCGUGGGGAGCGAACCGG
rnacentral:rRNA from 1 species